rnacentral:rRNA from 1 species
AUUGAACGCUGGCGGCAUGCCUUACACAUGCAAGUCGAACGGCAGCGGGCCCUUCGGGGUGCCGGCGAGUGGCGAACGGGUGAGUAAUGCAUCGGAACGUACCCGGGAGAGGGGGAUAACCGGCCGAAAGGCUGGUUAAUACCGCAUGAACUCGGAAGAGCAAAGCGGGGGACCUUCGGGCCUCGCGCUCUCGGAGCGGCCGAUGUCCGAUUAGGCUAGUUGGUGGGGUAAAGGCCCACCAAGGCGACGAUCGGUAGCGGGUCUGAGAGGACGAUCCGCCACACUGGGACUGAGACACGGCCCAGACUCCUACGGGAGGCAGCAGUGGGGAAUCGUGGACAAGGGGCGCAAGCCUGAUCCAGCAAUGCCGCGUGGGUGAAGAAGGCCUUCGGGUUGUAAAGCCCGUGCGGCGGGGAAGAAAUCGGUCAGGCGAAUAGUCUGGCCGGAUGACGGUACCCGCAGAAGAAGCACCGGCUAACUACGUG